ensembl:snoRNA
UAGCUUGAUGGUGACUCCCUGAGGCGUAUGAGUUGUGUGCAAUGAAUACGCGUCUGAAACUCUGAGGUUUGA